rnacentral:rRNA from 1 species
UACGGUAGGGGGCAAGCGUUGUCCGGAAUCAUUGGGCGUAAAAGCGCGUGUAGGCGGUUCGGUAAGUCGGCUGUGAAAGUCCAGGGCUCAACCCCUGGGAUGCCGGUCGAUACUGCCGGACUAGAGUUCGGAAGAGGCGAGUGGAAUUCCCGGUGUAGCGGUGAAAUGCGCAGAUAUCGGGAGGAACACCAAUGGCGAAGGCAGCUCGCUGGGGAGUUUACUGA